GGGGGCGACCUGGUUUCGACGUGGGUUGCAAAGCUUAAGGUGCAUGUCGAGGACGUAACUACCCUCGUAAAAAAUGUUACAAACCAUAUAGAUGCCAAUUCAAAACGCAUCGCUGUUAACGACAGAAACUUCUUUGCUAAAGAAGAACUGUUAGCCGCCUAAAAACCGGCGCAGCCCAUCCACCGAUUGUGCUUAUACGAUCGGCAAGUUUGCGAAAGCAAAUGGCGGAUGGUCAUAUUAUAUAAGCUCGCAAUCUGGUCUGCCUGAGACCUGAUUGCUAAAUAAAGAGGGCUCGCUGCUUUAACGCUUUCCUGUCAGGGAAGAAGCAGCCAAACUUAAAGACAGGAUAAACAUGUAGAUCCGAGAGUAGAGGAUUCGCGGACGCGGGUUCAAUUCCCGCCGCCUCCACCA
rnacentral:tmRNA from 1 species